rnacentral:tRNA from 1 species
AUCCAAUUAGUAUAAUAAAAUUAUGAAAGAUUUCCAAUCUUUGGAUUAAGCUUUAGCUUAAUUGGAAA